CAGUAGCCACGGUAAUACGGAGGGUGCAAGCGUUAUCCGGAUUUAUUGGGUUUAAAGGGUCCGUAGGCGGAUCUGUAAGUCAGUGGUGAAAUCUCACAGCUUAACUGUGAAACUGCCAUUGAUACUGCAGGUCUUGAGUAAAUUUGAAGUGGCUGGAAUAAGUAGUGUAGCGGUGAAAUGCAUAGAUAUUACUUAGAACACCAAUUGCGAAGGCAGGUCACUAAGAUUUAACUGACGCUGAUGGACGAAAGCGUGGGGAGCAAACAGGAUUAGAUACCCCUGUAGUCCCUGUCUCUUAUAC
rnacentral:rRNA from 1 species